CUACGUAGCUCAGAGUUUGAUCCUGGCUCAGGACGAACGCUGGCGGCGUGCCUAACACAUGCAAGUCGAACGGAGUGUUACGCUGAAUUUGAGAGUAGCUUGCUACAGGAUGAUUCUUGUAACACUUAGUGGCGGACGGGUGAGUAACGCGUGAGCAACCUGCCUUACAGAGGGGGACAACAGUUGGAAACGACUGCUAAUACCGCAUAACAUUCCGAGUGGGCAUCCACAUGGAAUCAAAGGAGCAAUCCGCUGUAAGAUGGGCUCGCGUCCGAUUAGGUAGUUGGUGAGGUAACGGCUCACCAAGCCGACGAUCGGUAGCCGGACUGAGAGGUUGAACGGCCACAUUGGGACUGAGACACGGCCCAG
rnacentral:rRNA from 1 species